rnacentral:sRNA from 1 species
UGGGACUUACGUCCCAAACUAUAAUAUUACAUCCCUUUGGGAUU